UACGGGAGGCAGCAGUGGGGAAUAUUGGACAAUGGGGGAAACCCUGAUCCAGCAAUGCCGCGUGGGUGAAGAAGGCUUUCGGGUUGUAAAGCCCUUUCAGUAGGGAAGAAGAUACAGGGCGAUAAUACCGCUCUGUAGAUGACGUUACCUACAGAAGAAGCACCGGCUAACUCCGUGCCAGCAGCCGCGGUAAU
rnacentral:rRNA from 1 species